ensembl:lncRNA
UUUUUUUUUUUUUUAAUUUUACCAUCUCUGCUUUGACCAGACACUUGGUACAACUUCAAACAUUGUCGCCUGUGGUUUGGCUGCCUAACAAGGAACUCUUGGCCCGCUUCGAAGCCAGCCUUCCUGAAGCCUGCCCUCACAUUUAGCGCCCUUAAUAUAGACUCUGUCUACCACAGAUCAGCGUGUACUGAGAAGAUAGAUGGGAAUCAGGGAGGAGGCUAUUUCAUUGCCUGGUGGUGGAACCAAUACUCAGUCUGGUGAUAUAAACUGAAAAAUGCAAAAAUGGGGAAGGCAAGGUGAGGAGUGAAGGCAGCUUCUCAGACUUGCUCGUGAGUUCGUAGUAAGGCAUCUCCAACAAGAGUCUUGCAGAGGCCUCCUGGAGGGUCCCUUCUGUCCACAGUGAUUGGGGCAUAGGCUGGCUCAACCAUAAAGGCAAACAGGAAACUCUGCCAACAAACAAAAGGAAAAAGGAAGCUCUCAGAUUCCUGUUCCAAGCAGCUUUCUGGGAAGGACUUUAUCUUGGGGGAAAGUUUUACUGAAGGAAAUUUGACCUGAAGUUGCAAGUUUCCUUUGUUAAGAAAAGCAAAUAACAUGAAAGGGGAGAAAAGCAACAAGAUGAAAGAUUGGUCAUCACAGAUGCAGAUCUAAUCUCUGCCGUAAUAUAAACUGGAAGAACCUAGAACCCUGGGGAGGUGAGAGUGGCAGGCAGGGUGGGGUGACAUGAGCAGAAACAACAGACAAGAUGAGGCUGACCUCCCACAGGGGCAGCGAGGGCCCUGGCUGAGCACAGAAGAACAGAACAACAUAAGGCUUCCAAGAGCAGGUUAGAGUCCUUCAGUAUUAGGAUGCAGUGUUUAUAAUCUCAUGGGCCAUGGCAAGUUCUGUGCUCUAUGCAUCUGGGAAAUGAGAUAAUCAAAGCACAUAAAUAAUACCAGCCAACCUUUUAAAACACAGUCAACAUUUUUAAACACAUAUUAAAAUCUUCUUGAGCCCUUCUCACAUAUUAACUAAUUUAAACCUCACGACAACCCUGUGAAAUACAUAACCAAUAUUAUCACUUCCCUUUAUAGGGGCACAGAAAGGUUAAGCACCUUGUUCAAGGCCAUACAGUUUGUAAGGCUCAAAAGCAGGAUUUGAACGCAGGCCAUCUGGUACCAAUGUCCCUCCUCUUAACCACCACAUCUGACUGCAAAGCAGUCUCUAAAAUUAAUCAAGUGUGAUAUGGUUGGAUGUUUUGUCCCCUCCAAAUCUCAUGUUGAAAUGUGACCUCCCAUGGUGGAGGUGGGGCCUGGUGGUAAGGACAGACCUCCCAUGAAUGGCUUGGUGCCCUCCUCAUGGUGAUAAGUUCUUGUUCUGAGGUAACAGGCGAUCUGGUUGUUUCAAAGAGUGUGGCACCUCCCCACUCUCUCUAGCUCCUUCUCUCACCACGCGAUGCACUGGUUCUCCCUUCACCUUCCACCGUAAUCGAAAGCUUCCUGAGGCCUCACCAGAAGCAGAUCCCGGCACUCUGCUUCCUGUACGACCUGCGGAACUAUGAGCCAAAAUAAAACCUCUUUUCUUUAUAAAUCCCCCAAUCUCAGGUAUUCAUUUAUAGCAAUGCCAAAACAGACUAACACAAGUGCAUCUCCUCUCUGUUCUUUAAGAAUGUUGGCAACUCUUGGGAUGGUAAUAGAAGAUAGCAGAAGGAAAACUGGGUUGGAAUCCUAACUCUAUGACAGAAGAAGGGGAGCUGGGACCUUGAACCUCAUAAGGUGAUUAUAAGUAAUGAGAUAAUACGCGUCUCUGGCACAUAGUAGAUGCUCAGUAAAUCAUUACACUAGCUCAUAUUCACUGAUGUUUAUCAAGGGCUAAGUAUGUGCUAGGCCCUAGAUAUAAAUCUCCUGAAUUGAAUUCAACCAGACUAGAUCGAUUUUACACUCCUUCUUCAUUUCAGGGCAUGAGGAAUGCUGAGGGUCAGCCUCUCGGAGAAGUUCUCAAAACUUCAACUCAAUUUGUGUAGUAGUUGUGCAC